rnacentral:lncRNA from 1 species
GGGAAAUUCCGAAGUUCACUUACUGCCUGCUUUUGCUCUUCCUCCUGGAGUGUUGAAGAUGAAAAAAAAAGGCAGAGGAAAAAAGGAGAGAAAUUAAUGCCCAUUAAUGCCCAUCACCACAAACAUUGGUCAGAAAUGAUAGAAAAAUCAGGCAAACCAGGCCAGGCCCACAGGUGCUGAGAUCAAAGGCCCCAUCCCCCACAGGAGCAUCAGAGGACGAAGCAAGCAGCAGGCCUCGGCCCGGUGAGUGAUUCAAUGCUAACUCCUAGAGCUAGAAGGAAAGAACCUUAGAAACCACCUCGCCAACAUUCUUACUAUAGAUCAAACAGGCCUAGAGGGCCUGACCUGCCUAAGGUUCACAUAGCUAUUUAGGGGAAUCUGAAAGAGGAAGUGCAACCAUGACUUGAAAUUGUAAUAAUAAUUCUAUAUUCAUCAUUCACGAUAUUCACAUGUGUUUAGGUACAUUUAUCGAGGCAAGUGGUUUUUGAUGCAUGGAACACAGACCAGCAGCAUCGGCAUCACCUGGGAACUUGUCAGAGAUGUAAACUUUGUGCCUCACCCUAUCCCCACCAAACCGAAGCUCUAGGGGUGGGCCACAGCAAUGCGUUCAAUCUUGUCUCUGAUUCUGGUGCAUACAAGUCUGAGACCCACUGCCCUCAUCACUUCCCAACUAGCAAUUCUGCCCACUACAGGUUCUUUUCUUAUUUGGUCCCCUCUCCACACUAAACAUGUUGGAACUGUAUCCCCGUCUACUUGCUUUCAGGCACAGUCUUUUUUUUUUUUUUUUUUUUUUUUUUCAGUGAGUCCCAUACAUACACAACUUCCCCCAGUAAACUGGAAACUGUUUGGAGACCCUGAAAGGUCAUUCAAAAAAGAAUUCUUGACCUCAGUUUUUCAUUAAUUCAAUACAGGUUUAUUUAGUCCUCUUAUGCAGAAAGCACUGGAAACAAAGAAAUGGUCUCUGUCAUCUAAAUCAAUCUAUCUAUCUAUCUAUCUAUCUAUCUAUCUAUCUAUCUAUCUAUCUAUCUAUCUGUCUGUCUAUCGACAGAGUUUCGCUCUUGUUGCCCAGGAUGGAGUGCAAUGGUGCGAUAUGGGCUCACUGCAACCUCCACCUCUGGAGUAGCUGGGAUUACAGGCAUGUGUCACCAUGCCCGGCUAAUUUUGUAUUUUUAGUAGAGAUGGGGUUUCACCAUGUUGGUCAGGCUGGUCUCUAACUCCUGACCUCAGGUGAUCCGCCUACCUUGGCCUCCCAAAGUGUUGGGAUUACAGGUGUGAGCCACUGCACCUGGCCGGUCUCUGUCUUUUAGAACCUUAUGGUGAUGGAACACAGAGCAGGCACUUGCUGGCUAUUAGCUGACUGCCCAAAUGAAUGCACUAUCAGACACUGCAGGAAAAAGGAUAAAGAGAACACUUUCAAGUUUCUCUUUCUUCAGUUCUUUGCUACUCAUCUACUCUGUCUUUUAAUGGGCCUCUUCCACUUCCUCCUUCUGUGCCUCACCAUGGGUCACUGUGGUCAGGGAGACUCAGCUCUUUGGCCUAGUAUGUAAAUCUAAAAGCUGUGCAAUGGUUCUAUUUAAAUUGGAACAAUUCAUGCAGCCAGUCUUUACUGAACAUGUACGUGCCUAGGAAGUCUCAGGAAUGGGUAAGUGCUCCUGCUCCCACACAGUCUACAGACCUGGGUGCAAUGGUGAGAAAGACCUCAGUAAAGCAAAGGAAUUACGAAAGGGAGAGGGUGAGUAAACACUUGGAGAACAUAAUUUUUAUUACUGCAAGGGACAGACAGGGACUAGAAAUAAAUGGGCACCGAGAAAUCUCUUAAGGAGACUCCCAACUCAGCAUGGGAAGGUGCUCUUCACAAUCAAAGCCAGAUGCUGGAUGCCUGACCAAAGCCAAACUCACAGGAGCCUAGGCACAGAGCGCUGAACACUGGCUCUGGCAGCGGGAAGGAAUUAGAGCGCUUCUGCUUUUGCACCUGCUUUGCAGUUAGGAAGCAAGCUCUCUUCCUUGCCAGACUUCCCUUUGGGGCAGGACACUUUUCUUAUAUUCUUGAGGCAAGGCAAACAGUCAUAGGACAGUUAUUAAACAAUUAUAAAAUGUGUUUUCAUUGCUGGCACUGUGUUGAAGUGGAAAGUGCGAUGGUUGGGGAGGGAUGGGGCAAUCCUAACAGGCUGAAAUUGUAUCCGAGGUCAAAAGACCAGUAUGUAAUUUCUUAGAACUGUUUCUAAGACAUCUCCCUACUUCCACAGUUUUCUCCAGGUUUGGUAUUAAAGAGAACACUGCUGUGGCUCAACAGAAUAGGGAAAUUCAGAAAGCAAUGUUUCAUACUUGGACAUCUGGUGAUUGCAAUUUAAGUUUGUCAGAAGAGAAACCGUAAUUUGCAGUAGAUAUAUCAGGUUAGGCUGGGGACAGUGGGCAGGGCAGCGCUUCCAGGACUUACAGGCCUUCCAUGUGGCCUGGUACUGGGGAGAGAAUGGACUUUGGCAAAGUGUUAUUUAGGAUAGUGUUGUAUAAUUUAAACUCACAAAACUUAUUCAGAUAAAGCCCUUAAGGCUCUGUCAACACAGUAAACAGGUCAGAUCCCAGGUCUGAGAACCUCUGUGUUAUCAACUAGUCAGGUGGGGUCACUAAAUAUUGACUGAUGACAAGGGAUAGAGCCAACGUGAUUUAAAAGGGGGUAAUACCUUAAUUAUAAAGUGUAAACUUAGAACUGCUUAUGUCACCUAAAAACAUGUGAGUCUCUUCCACAUGAAUGAGGUCUGGCAAGGUGGCCAAAGCAAUGACAUAGCCACUGUAGUCAUUUACAUAAAAAUUUACACUCAAACUAGAUAAGCAUUUGCAAAUGAGGUUGAAAUUCAAAACUGCAGAAUUCAUCUGGUAAAUGUAAAUGAGUUUCCUUUUCUCUUCUUUUUUUUUUUUUUUUUUUUUUUUUUUUGAGAUGGAGUCUCACUGUGUCGCCCAGGCUGGAGUGCAAUGGCGCGAUCUCGGCUCAGUGUGACCUCCGCCUCCUGGGUUCAAGUGAUUCCCCUGCCUCAGCCUCCUGAGUACCUGGGAUUAUAGGCAUGCACCACCACAUCUGGCUAAUUUUUGUAUUUUUAGUAGAGGUGGGAUUUCACCAUAUUGGCCAGGCUGGUCUUGACCUCAGGUGAUCCACCUGCCUCGGCCUCCCAAAGUGUUGGGAUUAUAGGCAUGAGCCACCACGCCUGGCCUGGUAAAAUGAGUUUCAAAAGCAAUAUCAGACAAAUGGAAAAUGAAGUAGAACAUGGAUUAGAAACACCAACACAUAAACACUUCUAGAUUAAAUAGGAAGUUUUUUUGAGGUCAGUAAUUAAUUAAUACUCAUUAAUCAGGUAAAAAGUAUAAGGGAAAGAUAUGUAGAGAAACAUGAAUGCCUGAGUGUCAGUCUACAUUAUGUCAUUAAAAAGAAUAAAGGGUGGCUCACGCCUGUAAUCCCAGCACUUUGGGAGACCAAGGUGGGUGGAUCACCUGAGCUCAGGAGUUCGAGACCAGCCUGGCCAACAUGGUGAAACCCGUCUACUAAAAAUACAAAAAUCAGCUGGUUGUGGUGGCGGGUGCCUGUAAUCCCAACUACUCAGGAGACUGAGGCAGGAGGCAGGAGACUCACUUGAAUCCGGGAGGCAGAGGUUGCAGGGAGCCAAGAUUGUGCCACUGCACCCCAGCCUGGGCAACAGAGUGAGACUCCAUCUCAGACAAAAAAACAAAAAAACAAAGAAGGAGGGUCCUUGAUACUCCUUGAUUGAUCAGGGAUUGAGUCUAGUCACCAUGAUAUGCCAAAUAACUAAUGUGACACUUAGGAACUCAAUAGAUUUUUGUUAAAGAAACAAAAAAAUUAAUUUUAACCCUGCUUUAUUCCAAAAAAGGAUUAAGAUUUUUGUUGAAUGAAUUAACAGUGAUGUCACUUCUUAUGUAUGCUUCUUUAAAUUAUCAUUUCAGAUAGAAGAUAAAGUACAUAAUAGUUUCCUGAAGCAGCAGAAUGAAAGAACUCUCUGUGGCAUGAAAAUUUACUGGAGGCAGCAGCUGAGGCUGUGGUGGGAGAAGAAUGACAAGAACUGAGCGUGGGCCACGGGCUCUUACCUUCAGCAACUUCAUCAGCUCUUCCAGCUGGACCAUCAGCUCCCGCCUGCUCUCCUGCAGGGCCGACAUCCUCUGCUCCAGUUCAUCCUUCCUUUGCCUAUCCAAGACG